rnacentral:rRNA from 1 species
UACGUAGGGUCCGAGCGUUGUCCGGAAUUACUGGGCGUAAAGAGCUCGUAGGUGGUUUGUCGCGUUGUUCGUGAAAACUCACAGCUCAACUGUGGGCGUGCGGGCGAUACGGGGCAGACUGGAGUACUGCAGGGGAGACUGGAAUUCCUGGUGUAGCGGUGGAAUGCGCAGAUAUCAGGAGGAACACCGGUGGCGAAGGCGGGAUCUCUGGGCCGUAACUGACGCUGGAGGAGCGAAAGCAUGGGGAGCGAACAGG